rnacentral:rRNA from 1 species
CAAUAGCGUAUAUUUAAGUUGUUGCAGUUAAAAAGCUCGUAGUUGGAUUUCGGAUGGGAUUUGCCGGUCCGUCGUUACGAUGUGCACUGGCCAGUCCUAUCUUGUUGUCGGGGACUAGCUCCUUGGAUUCACUUCCUGGGACUAGGAGCUGACGAGGUUACUUUGAGUAAAUUAGAGUGUUCAAAGCAAGCCUACGCUCUGAAUACAUUAGCAUGGAAUAACACGAUAGGACUCUGGCUUAUCUUGUUGGUCUGUGAGACCAGAGUAAUGAUUAAGAGGGACAGCCGGGGACAUUCGUAUUUCAUUGUCAGAGGUGAAAUUCUUGGAUUUAUGAAAGACGAACUUCUGCGAAAGCAUUUGUCAAGGAUGUUUUCAUUAA